rnacentral:lncRNA from 1 species
AAAUUUUUAGUGAAAUUUCGUUUAGGUUACUGAACUUCAAUUUGUUUCAUCCUCAACGACCGUAUGAUCGAUCGUCACCGUAUGAUUGAUUUUACCUCUACGUUGUGGAAUUUUGUUCCGGUCCGGCCAUUGGCGGUCGGUGCGCCGACGUUCCCUCGACAUCUCCCAACACAACCAGUCCUGGCUCCGGCGAUCCCGCCGUCAUCGUCUUCUCCGCCCUUGCCACCACCACCGCAUUGUCGCUGGUUUCCUUCCUUGCUGGACCAUGCCUCUCUUCGCCUGAUCGUUUUAUCGGUAUAUUUCUGGGCCGACUAUUUUUUUUCCUCUCGAUCUGCACCAUAGUUAGCUAAUUCGGAUUCGGCAAAUAUUCGAUACGGCCAGGUAUAAUUCGAAUAAAAUUCGUAUCUCAAUCUUCGUUGAAAAAUACGGCUUAAAAAUCGGAUUCGCCAAUUAUUCAGAUACGCGAUGUAUACGAGAAUUAUGCAUUCACCUAUUAAAAAUUCAGAUCAAAACUUCGGCUAUUAAAUUAAGUUUUUUUCUUUAAAUUUAUGCUACUAGCAUACAUAAUUAUAAAUUCUUAAUAAUAUAAAAAUAGAGAUUCACAAAAUAAAGUAAAUUAAGUAAAAAAAAAAUUAAUAACAAAUUUUGUUGUCACCUUCAUCUUCAUCUUUUCGUGAUCCAUAUAUUCUGAAAGUUCAUGAAGUUUUUUAAUGAUUCGUGAAUAAUUCAACAAUAAUCCGGAAAGGGAUUUUAUCUAAAAAUUUUGCGCAUUUUUUGGCCAAGUAGGUCGGCAUACGCGAAUUAUUCGCGAAUAAUAAAAUCUAAUCCGAAAAUGCACGCUUUAUUUUGAAUUUUUAGAAAUAAGUCUCGUACGAAUCGUUUUAUUUAAAUUUUUAAUAAUUUACGAAUAAUUCACGAAUUAACUGACUAUGAUCUGCAUUAGUUGGUUGUA